rnacentral:rRNA from 1 species
AUUGAACGCUGGCGGAAUGCUUUACACAUGCAAGUCGAACGGCAGCACGGACUUCGGUCUGGUGGCGAGUGGCGAACGGGUGAGUAAUGUAUCGGAACGUGCCCAGUCGUGGGGGAUAACGUAGUGAAAAUUACGCUAAUACCGCAUACGAUCUAUGGAUGAAAGCGGGGGAUCGCAAGACCUCGCGCGAUUGGAGCGGCCGAUAUCAGAUUAGGUAGGUGGUGGGGUAAAGGCCCACCAAGCCAACGAUCUGUAGCUGGUCUGAGAGGACGACCAGCCAAAAUGGAACUGAGACACGGUCCAGACUCCUACGGGAGGCAGCAGUGGGGAAUUUUGGACAAUGGGCGAAAGCCUGAUCCAGCCAUUCCGCGUGCAGGAUGAAGGCCCUCGGGUUGUAAACUGCUUUUGUACAGAACGAAAAGGUUUCUACUAAUACUAGGAGCUCAUGACGGUACUGUAAGAAUAAGCACCGGCUAACUACGUGCCAGCCGCCGCAGUAA